UGGUUCUGGCAUCGAUGAAGAACGCAGCGAAAUGCGAUAAGUAAUGUGAAUUGCAGAAUUCAGUGAAUCAUCGAAUCUUUGAACGCACAUUGCGCCCUUUGGCAUUCCGAGGGGCAUGCCCGUUCGAGCGUCAUUACACCACCUCAAGCCUCGCUUGGUCAUGGGCUCCCCGGGGUUCCCCGGCGCCCGAAAAUCGAUUUGGCCGGCCGUCGCCGCCCACCCGCGUCGUGGCAUCUGUGCUCGCGGACGGACGGGCGACGGCCGGGGCCGUGAAACGCACCAUGUUCUCAGGUUGACCUCGGAUCGGGUAGGGAUACCCGCUGA
rnacentral:misc_RNA from 1 species